AUUGAACGCUGGCGGCAUGCUUUACACAUGCAAGUCGAACGGCAACAGGGUGCUUGCACCGCUGACGAGUGGCGAACGGGUGAGUAAUGCGUCGGAACGUGCCGAGUAGUGGGGGAUAACGCAGCGAAAGUUGUGCUAAUACCGCAUACGUACUGAGGUAGAAAGUGGGGGACCUUCGGGCCUCACGCUAUUCGAGCGGCCGACGUCUGAUUAGCGAGUAGGUGAGGUAAAAGCUCACCUAGGCGACGAUCAGUGGCGGGUGUGGGAGGAUGAACCGCACCACUGGGACUGAGCCGCGACCCAAACUCCUACGGGGGGCAGCGGUGGGGAAUUUUGGAAAAUGGGCGAAAGCCUAAUCCAGCCAUGCCGCGUGUCUGAAAAAGGCCUUCGGGUUGUAAAGGACUUUUGUCAGGGAGGAAAUCCCUAGUGCUAAAAACACUGGGGGAUGACAGUACCUGAAGAAUAAGCACCGGCUAACUACGUGCCAGCAGCCGCCGUAA
rnacentral:rRNA from 1 species